rnacentral:lncRNA from 1 species
UUUGAUUCAGGUGUGCGUAGUCGAACUCAUCUUCCUCCAAGCAUGUGAUCACUCUCGGAAAAAAAUACUCUCCAUUGCUGGGAAAAAAAUAUUUACUAGGAAUUAAACACAAUUAAACGGGGAUAUGUAUAUAUUAUUUUAUGAAGCAGUCCUAGUGAGUUGUUGUAAACUACACACUAAACUCUCUCUUUCUCCCAUUCUCUCCUUUUUUUUUUAGUAGAAGUCCCUCCUGGAUGGUGCACCUCGAAUCUAUAUUUAGAUGACAACAUCAUCAAUGGGAAACACUUUAUGUGAUUGCCAACAUCUAUAAUCUCGCAAAAUUAAGGUGAUUGUUGACACUAAAUACACCUUUGUUGCCAACAAUAUUCUAGCAAAUAAAGUUGAUUGUUAAACACUAAAUCAUGGGAAAGCCAUUGUAUACGCAGAAGGGCAAUAUACCUGGUUCUCCUUGAUUGUUCUUCUCAACUAUAAAGUAACCUGUGUUGCCACACUCAGGAUAUAUUUUGAGCAAGAAAGUUGUUGGACUGUCUUUUGUGGCAACGGAUCAUAUCAAGAGAGGAUAAUGUAAGCUGUUACUGACAAGCAUUGAAGAGCUGCUAGUUAGCCUCGAUGUAAGAACAAUAGUGCUUCCUUCAACUACAGUCAAAGUGCGUACAUGGACCGAUUCCUCCUUUCGAUUUGAAGUGAAGUUAUGAAAAGAGAAGAUAAAAUGAGGAUUAAGGAAUAUCGUUUUGCCCAUUCUAAUGGAACUACAUCCGUACAAUUUGUAGAAAAUGCAACUGAAGCAUAAAAUGAGGAAGGAUGGAGUAAUGUAGUGGAAGUUGUGUGUUGUUAUAUUUUUUUUAUGUAAAUGAGGAGUUGUAAUAUUUUGACAAUACCAAUUUAUGGAAAGGUUUUUCUUUUUCUUUUUUUU